GGCAAGAUGGCCGAGCGGUCUAUGGCGGAUGUCUCAAGUGCAUCUCUCGCAAGAGGCGUGGGUUCGAAUCCCACUCUUGUCA
rnacentral:tRNA from 1 species